rnacentral:rRNA from 1 species
UAGGGUGACCUGCGGAGGGAUCAUUACCGAG